AGCCUAGGGAAAAUUAUCCUAGGUGAAACCUGCCCGGUGACUAGAUUUUAACGGCCGCGGUACUUUGACCGUGCUAAGGUAGCGUAAUCAGUUGACUUUUAAAUGAAGUCUUGUAUGAAUGGAUUUAUGGGAUUAAGCUGUCUCUUUUGUAUUCUAUUGAAAUUACUAAUUAGGUGAAAAGGCCUACAAAUGAAAAAAGACGAGAAGACCCUUAGAGUUUUAAUAAGUAGGUUUUUGUUGGGGCGACAAGAAGACAUAUAUAACUCUUCUAUUAGAAAAAUACUUGCCGGUUCUUUUAAGUAUGAAUAAACUACCUUAGGGAUAACAGCAUAAUCCAGUUUGGGUUUGUGACCUCGAUGUUGGACUAGGAAAAUUAUGCCCUAGCAGGGUGUAUAUUUAGGUUCUGUUCGAACUUUUAUUCCU
rnacentral:rRNA from 1 species